UACGUAGGGUGCGAGCGUUAAUCGGAAUUACUGGGCGUAAAGGGUGCGCAGGCGGUUUUGUAAGCCAGAUGGGAAAUCCCCGGGCUCAACCUGGGAAUGGCAUUUGGGACUGCAAGGCUAGAGUGUGGCAGAGGAGACUGGAAUUCCCGGUGUAGCAGUGAAAUGCGUAGAUAUCAGGAGGAACACCGAUGGCGAAGGCAGGUCUCUGGGCUGACACUGACGCUCAUGCACGAAAGCGUGGGGAGCAAACAGG
rnacentral:rRNA from 1 species